rnacentral:lncRNA from 1 species
ACAUCGUUUGGAAGCAAAACCACAUUUUUUUCAAAAAGAAUUUUUUUUAAAGGAAAUUUUACAUGCAGUGAAGUCAAGGCUUAACUCUUGAGAGGAAGCAGUACAGGGACAGUCAUUGGGUCUUUGCUGAUGGAACGCUUGCUCUGAGUGGAGGGUAAAGGCCACACUUUGUCCCAUUCCCCUGAUGCACAGCACAUGGGAUAUUUACUGUCCUAUUAGCAAAAGCAAGUCGUACAAGCUCCAAGUCAAUGUGGGUGGGGACUGGACAAGAGUAUGGAUACAGGAGGAAGCCCUGGCUCCAUUGGAAGCCAUCACUGUAACUGCCAACCCACAAGAUAUGACCUGAGACUCCUCAGGCCUCCCCAGACUAUAGGAAAGAUGGUAGUAUGGCCAUAGAGUCUAAAUGGAAAAGCAGACACCAUUUCCAGGUUUUACAACAGAAGCAAUGGUUUAUGCUGGUGAUGGAAGGGCAGAGGACCAAAGGGAACAGUGCAACAGCCCAGGGAUGAGCAAUGGCAGGAGGUCACUACUUCUCUGAGAUUGGAGAGGCAAAGAGAAGACACCAACUAAUAGAGUCCAGAGACCAGGGUGACAUGGUACAAACUACAGUCAUAAUGGACCUGUCUGAUGGGAGCUGGAGCCAUGGAGAAGACAGAGCCACUGAGGGAGAAGCCACCCAAGACUGAGAGGGAGUAAGAGCAGAAGCCUGGCUUCUUCCUUCCUUCCAACCCCUCAUCUCCUGCCAGUGCCUUUUAUGGGCUGCACCUGGCCAGAACCCACUACUCUAGGAGCCUCUGAAACACAGCCUGCAAGGGUAGCCCCCUGUAAUAGACAGUAGGAGCAAUUCAAGGAAUGGAUCUGGGGCGGAGAGGCCCAGGACCAGCCCAUGGAGCACAUUCACAGUAAUAACCCAAAUAUUACCCCUGCUUUAUCAAGUAAGACUCUUUCCUCCCCACACAGUCCCACUGUAAUUUCUGUGCAUCUCUGUGGGUAUUUCUUAUGAGCAUAAGAAAAACUUUGAGGUUGACAUCCAAAAGCCAUUGAGAAGGGGCGUCUCCCAGCCUGAGAAUGCUGCUCUGCCCAGGCUGCUGUCUUCUGCCACCCUGAGGCUGAAAACACUGAUGUGUCAAUGUGGUACUGAACACUCCCACAUCCUCCUUGAGACUGAACCUCACUAGCCCACUCAGAAGUGGAGAGAUGCCUUUUCCACCCUGCCAUUCUCUUUAUAACAGUCCUUUAUAAAAAUAAUUCAUUCAGCCCCUCCUCAGACACUAUCUCUGAGACCAGGUCGAGGAGCACUGUACAAGGCUGACUCCCCAUUCCCCCAUCUGGUAGCAUCUGACCAAACCAUUCCCACAUCCACCUUCCACCAGCAUACCUCCCUGCAAAUCCACUCCUGGAUGUUCACCUCCCCUUUACCAGACACAUCCAGUCAUACAUGGAUAAAUCCCUGAUGGGUUUGAGCUGGGACCACACACUCAAACACACAUGCGUGCAUGCAUACAUAUGUACACACAAGUAUGUGCUCACAUCAUUACUACCACAACCUCUGCAAGAGUGCACAAGAAAUGAGAAAAAUGAUCACUGAUUAACACCUCCAAUGUGUCACAUAGUUUAUACUUAACUCCUUUACUCCUGAAGAAAACCCUACAAAUAGGCCUGAUUCUCAUUUACAGGUGAGAAAACUGAGGUGCAUAUUUCUGUGACUGGCUCUAGCUUACACAGUAAAGAAACAAUAAGAUCAAGAUCUUAAGUCAGGUCUACAGAAUACCAAAAUCCAUAUCCUUCCCCUACCACGUUGUCUUUCAACCUAUAUGAACAACCUAUAUGAACAGCAUUUUAUUCUUGUCUUGGCACUAUUUCUUAUUGUCCUAGUAAGAUUGAAUAAACUGUUAUUUCUAAGCCUUCUUAU